rnacentral:lncRNA from 1 species
GUAAAUAAGACUACUGGAGUGAGUUAAAAAAAAGCUAUCAAGUUCUACAGUAUAUGCAAUAUCUUCUUUAUUAACGACAAAUAAACUAAAAAAAAAAAAAGGAUGAUAAGAAGUUUAAGAGGAAAAAGGAGAAGAGUAUAAGGAGAAGGAAGAAGACGAAGCAAGACAAAAACCAAGUUCGCCUAUUCCUUUCUGAAAGGAGAAAGUAAAAGAUUAUUUUUUUAACUGUUGGAGAUGUUCCUGAGAGAAUCCCCACUUCCAGUGUUGUUAUAAAUUCGUGCAUGUAGGAACACUCCUUCUGCUGCUACUUGUACCAGACCAGAGAGAGUGAUAUAUAGACACACACAAAGAGAGGGACACAUAGAAAAACCAAAAGGAAAAU